GCCAGGGUUGUGAGGGUUUCUGUCGUAAAUGAUUCCUCUUAUCCUUUCCGGUCCUGAAGCGGCCUUGAAAUGCCUCAGCCACCCAGAGGUGGGGUCGUCGGACUUAUGCUCGGGGUCCCCGGGAGGAGCGGCUGGCGUCCGAGAGCGUGCCACCAGAGCUCUGAUGCUCCCUCGCUCCCUCACCCGGUUCCUUUGCUGUUCCGGACCCCGGCCCCGCUCCAGGCCAACCUUUCGGCUCUGGGCGAGUUUAUGACUCCUCCCUGCAAUGACAUCCUUGAUAUAGAAAUAAAAGUCUUUGCCAGUGUCAGCGACUACAACAUCAACAAAAGGGGACAAUUCAUCUCUUUAGAAAACCACAAAGAUCUUUUUUUGGCAAGUUAUUGCAGGAAUUUAGACUUGUAGCAGCUGAUCGAAGGUCCUGGAAGAUACUGCUCUUUGGUGCAAUAAACUUAACAUGUACUGGCUUCCUGCUAAUGUGGUGCAGUUCCACUAAUAGUAUAGCUUUAACUGCCUAUACUUACCUGACCAUUUUUGAUCUUUUUAGUUUAAUGACAUGUUUAAUAAAUUACUGGGUAAUGAUGAGGAAACGUAGCCCUGCCUAUUCAUUUGGAUUUGAAAGAUUAGAAGUCCUGGCUGUAUUUGCGUCCACAGUCUUGGCACAAUUGGGAGCUCUCUUUAUAUUAAAAGAAAGUGCAGAACGCUUUUUGGAGCAGCCUGAAAUACACACGGGAAGAUUAUUAGUUGGUACUUUUGUGGCUCUUUCUUUCAACCUGUUCACAAUGCUUUCUAUUCGGAAUAAACCUUUUGCUUAUGUCUCUGAAGCUGCUAGUACGAGUUGGCUUCAAGAGCAUGUUGCAGAUCUUAGUCGAAGCUUGUGUGGAAUUAUUCCAGGACUUAGCAGUAUCUUCCUUCCCCGAAUGAAUCCAUUUGUUUUGAUUGAUCUUGCUGGAGCAUUUGCUCUUUGUAUUACUUAUAUGCUAAUUGAAAUUAAUAAUUAUUUUGCUGUAGAUACUGCAUCAGCCAUAGCCAUUGCUCUGAUGACAUUUGGCACUAUGUAUCCCAUGAGUGUGUACAGUGGGAAAGUAUUACUCCAGACAACACCACCCCAUGUUAUUGGUCAGUUGGACAAACUCAUCAGAGAGGUAUCUACGUUGGAUGGAGUUUUGGAAGUCCGAAAUGAGCAUUUUUGGACCCUAGGUUUUGGCUCAUUGGCUGGAUCUGUUCAUGUGAGAAUUCGACGAGAUGCAAAUGAACAAAUGGUUCUUGCUCAUGUGACCAACAGGCUGUACACACUAGUAUCUACUCUGACUGUUCAGAUUUUCAAGGAUGAUUGGAUCAGGCCUGCCUUACUGUCUGGGCCUGUUGCAGCCAAUGUCCUAAACUUUUCAGAUCAUCACAUAAUCCCAAUGCCUCCUUUAAAGGGUACUGAUGAUUCCAACCCUGUUACAUCAACUCCAGCUAAACCCAGUAGUCCACCUCCAGAAUUUUCAUUUAACACCCCUGGAAAAAACGUGAGCCCAGUUAUUCUUCUUAAUACUCAAACAAGACCUUAUGGUUUGGGUCUUAAUCAUGGACACACACCUUAUAGCAGCAUGCUUAAUCAAGGACUUGGAGUUCCAGGAAUUGGAGCAACCCAAGGAUUCAGGACUGGUUUUACAAAUAUACCAAGUAGAUAUGGAACUAACAAUAGAAUUGGACAACCAAGACCAUGAUGUACUGUAAUUUAAUUUAUUUUUAUGAGGAAUAUUGACUCCUUGGCUUUCAGUUUAUUUAGUAAUCCAACGUUGCAUCGACUGUUAAAUCAUUUAAUUAGAGAAUAGUAGGUUUGUUCACAUUUCAUGAAACCAAUGAAACUAUAUUUUUGUAAAAUGUAUUUGGGGCAGUGAGAACCUUCUAAAUGUUAUAGGCUUUAAAUAGGCUUCCUUUAGAAAGCUGUUUCUCUAAAUUUGAAUUUUGCUAUCUUUGGUUUCGUAGUUGACUGCAGUGUGAUAUAACACUACCUUUAUAAGAGAGCCACUUGAUAGAGUGGAUCUGUCACAUUAUUAAAAAUAUAAUACUUUCUUCAGUGAAAUUUAUAAACAUGCUUCUUGAGUACACAUUUUAGGAAAAGAAAAAAUCCAUUUUAAAAGUAAAAGUCUCUUUUAUAGAUUUUCCAAACAUAAUUGCUACAUUUUCCUUUGAGGUCCUCCUGAAUUAUGUCUUGCAAAGUAGAAGCAAACAUUUUUAUCAGAAAUUUUAAAACAUAUUUUACCAUCUGGCACAAUUUAAAAUUUUUACUUAUCAGUUUUUUAAUAGUUUUUCUCAUUAAAAAAUUUCAGUACAUUUGUAAGUGGCCCAUCAUUCUCAAAGUGUUUUAUUUUGGUUAAAUAAUACCAAAUCCUUAGGUGAUAUGCAGUGAAGGAAUCCCAGUUUUCUGUCUUACAUUUAACCAAAUACUGACAUAAUGAUAGAUUUAUCUUUUUUGUCACCUUUUCAUUGGUUGACUUUAAUUCCUCAUUUUAUUAACAAAAUAUAUCACAUAUAUUACCAGAAUAGGUGGAAUUCCAUACAUAGUAAUACGAUUUAAUCUUUUUUCAAAGUUGCAUGAACAAUUUGAGUUUACAUUAUAUAAUUUUACCAAAACAUAGUGGACCCUAGGUUAUAGAAUACAGUAUUGUUAUAUCUGCAUUAGGCAGUUUCUAACUUACUUUGUUUUGCUUUAUUGAAAAGUGAAUCGAAGUGUGAGAAUCAUGUAAAUUAUUUUUAAAUUAUUUUCCAAAUGCAAAUGUUAAGGACUUUCUAACAUGGCCAGCAUUACUUAUAAAAAGUAUAACAAGCAGCCGUCACAGAUCACCUAUGAGAUUUUUUUUCAUUUUAUCAUGAGUUUUAUAAUUAGGUUUUAAAAACGGAUUUUGAGAGUGGAUUCAACUUUUCUAGAAUCCAGUACUCCUGAAGAUUUCUGACAUUUCCAGCCAUCAGCAGCUAUCUAGAGAAGAUUUUUUUUUUUUUAGAUUUUGCAAGUUUCUUCAAUAAACUCAUCCUCUUUUAAAUAUGAGCAACACUCCCAAAUCCUGUUUCUUUACAGUAGAAUCAUAAACAUCUAAGAAGCCAUCUCUGUCGAGCAGAAUUGUAGUCAUCCUGUGAUAAGUGACAAUGUCCCAAAUAACUUUUGCUUGAUGAGGAGUUGAUCAUUGUCUUUGACAUCUGCAACCCUGUUCAGGCACUUGACCUGCUGAAGAAAUAGAGCCCACGCUACCUUGACUGCCGGGGAAAGUGAAACUUUGUAAAAUGUGAUAAGGCAACCUGUUCCUUGACAUUUGUCUUAAUGUUCUCCAACUAUUACUAUACCUAUUAUUGGUCUACUAUUACAGGGUGAUUUUUCCUCCAUUGACCUCAUCUAAACGUGAAUUCGGGUCAUGCAUGAAAUCUGAAGAACUGCCGUGUACUGAGUGAUGAUUAAGAGUGAGCUGCCGUGUUAUGAGGACAUGCAAGCAGUCUAUGGAGAGGUCCAGGCAUGAGAAACUAAGGCCUCCAGCCAACAGCCAGCAUUAACCUGCCAACCAAAUGAGGAGCCACCUUGGAAGCAGGUCUCCAGCAGUCCCAGUCAUGACAGCCUAAGCCAGAACCACCCAGCUAAGCUGCUUCCAAAUUCCUGACCCACCAAAAUGGUGACAAGUGAGGCAGAGCCUAAUGGGAAGCCACUUGUGGAUGAAAAUGAAUAUCAGAUUACAGUCACAUAGAACAAGGCUCCUGCCGGCCCAUAGCUUCACAGAACUCAGCAGCCCCUGCUCUGGGCAACAGGACUGAUCUACACAGGUGUGGCUGGACUACACAGAAAUCCCGGAGUGUAACCUCCAAUGUCUUGAAUUCCUGCUUCCAGUUGAAGAACAAAGACACAGCCCUGCUGGGAAUGUAGGUUCCUGAGGACUCUUGCAUGUGGACCCUGCUUGCGUCUUCUGUGGUCUUAUCCUGAGAAGCCACAGCUCCCCCGUACAGGUCUAGUUUAACAAAGUCCAGAGCACUUGCACAAUUAGGCAAGUUUUCAAAGAAGUCAAAUAAGUAAUCAGGGAUGUUCUCUGAGUUGAUAUGUAGGCUUUUACCAUGAAAGAAAGCUUCAAAUUCUUCUCUCAGGUUUGAUGUGGAUAUACUCUCACAGAAUAAAUUGAUGCCACACUCUGUAAAGGAGUUGAUGUUUAUGGCUUUCAGAAUUUCUUGCACAGUGGUGCUUUUCACAUUUUGCAUAGAUUCCUGCCUCCAGAGAGGCCUCUUGGUGACUAAAAGCCCACCGAGGCUGCCAUGUUGAUACACUGAUGCCAGGUGUUUCAGAACAGUCCGGGUGGCUUCGGCAGAUGACCCACACGUAUACAGGAGCAGGUUGCUGUACUUGGAUGUAAUGUCUGAAAUGGAAACCAUUUUCUGCAAGUGACCAUUCCCCUUGGUCACCUCUGCUGGCUCUUCAGACGUCAAUAAACUGCUGAGUCUGCGUCCUGCUGUGUACUCCUGGAAUGAUUUAUGAAAGAACUUAUACUUCGGCUUGAACCGUUGAGCUGUGUAUUUACAGAGGAGUCCCGUUGUCAGCAGAACAUCCUCGUUCACACUGGACAAGUCAUCCGGUUCAAAAUCAAACCUGUGGGAGAACACGCCCUCCAGAGCUAGGUCUCCACAGUGGUCCAGGCUCCGAGUGACCUCACUUGGAGCCACCCCUUUACGUUUGUGCUUGUUUUUAUUUACUAGCAGAUCGUAGAAAGCACAGAACAGUGUGGUUUGUGUGUUAGAGUGGAACUCACUUUUCCCCAUCUGGAUUGCACAAGUGAUGACCACAAAGAGAGGGGUCUUCAUCAGAUUCCUCAAGCACCUGGAUUUCUGAAUUUGGAGCAACAAGCCUUCAGCGAGCUCCUUUAUCAGCACUUCCCGGAUGAGAGCCUGGGCACUGUCCUCGGUCAUGUCCCCCACCUCGGCAAUCAGCGCACCAAACUGCCUGAUGUACCUCAGGCACUCCGUGGUGGUGGUGACGAUGACCAUAUUCUUGAAGCGGUGGUUUUCCUUUAUUAGGGCUUCGAUUUCUGGGCAGUUCUGGGCCUUGAAUUCAUUGUAGCCAUCAAGGAGAAAAAGAACCCUCUGCCGUAGCUUCAGUAGCAUGGCCAUGAAAGUCUGCUUCCUGAUUGUGUCAGGUAUAUCCAAGAGUUGGUCACACAGGGUUUUGAAGAGUCCACCCUGGGCCCUGCUCAGACGGAGAAAUAAAACUAAUUUGAACUUGGUCAGAGCCUGGCACUCUCCAGAGGCCCAGAGCAUGGCAAUUCGCUGCAGCAAAGUGGACUUCCCUUUGCCCGGUUCCCCUUCGAUGAUGCAGGGGCUCUGAAGAGUGUCCAGCAGGCCACUCAGGGUCAGCUGCUCCAGACGGUGAUGGUGUUGGUCCUUCCUCCAUAGAACCGGUUCUGUGAAGGUGCUUUUCAAAUUAAAAAUAAUGUCAAUAUCUUCACCCAGUGGAUAGUAGUUCAGAAAAGAUGGGGUAUGGUAUAAGUCCUUUAAAUCCUGAGCCAAACCAUCUAAGUCUUCUUCUGACAUCUGAUAAAAAAGACCUGUUAGAGAAGAGGUGAAAUUGAAGAGGAUCCAAUUCUGUGUCUCCCCAGAACCUAGAGUUCAGGAGGAGGAAGGAGGAGUGAGGCUGAGAAUCUUCCCUUGGUGACUUUCUUUUCCUUCCCCAGUUCUGAGCUGGCAGAAAGGGUUCCAAAUAUUUGCUCCUGCUUUUCCCUGUUACCCUUUACCCUACUUGCCCUUUUGCCUUGUGUUUCUUCCUUUCCACCACCAAAUUUUGUAGCAGCUGAUUGGAAAGGAGAGGAGCCAGAGUUUGGGUUAAGGAAAGUGCAUGAGAAUAGUGGGGAUAUGGUUGAGAAUGAUGGUCAGGGGUAACUUUCAGCCAAUCAAGCCUUAACCUUGAUUAAAAUCUGUCAGGAAAGAAUUGACUAAUUUAAAGAAAGAAAAACUAAAUUAAUAUUUCAUGAAAAGCAGAAUCAUGCUUCUUUAGUCAGUCAGGCUCUCUUUACCAUGGUGCUUGGAUUACAGAGUAGGUAGUCUGGGGGCCACUUGUCCACAGAUGGUCCUCAUCAGACUAAGGAAUGUUGACAACUACUACUGCCUACUGCCUUGGCUUCUUAAGUGCCUUCACUGUCCAGUUUGAUUCUGAAGUCAGCCUGUGCUAAAUCAUUUAUUCCCUUACCCUGGAGUUACUUAUUUGGCUUCACCAUCAAGUGACCUAGUGGGAGUUUUUUGUUUUGUUUUGUUUUCCUGAGAGUGUCUGAGCUUUUCCUCAACAUAACCAAAGCCCAAUGCCCAGUGAUAUGAGAGCAUUGGAGGGAGGAGAGCAGAGGUUCUGUCAUGGGGAUUAUGGAUCUUCUUCAUGAUUUAUUCUAUUUGUAGAACAGCUAAAAGAAAACUAAUACUUACUAAGUCCAUGCAAGUCCUGAAACAGAGGAUAGUUCCACUUUUCAAGGGAUUUAAGGAACAGGUUACAGGCUUCUGAACCCUUCUUCAAAAUCAUGUGAAUGAUCCCUCUCGCAGCAUCCUGCUCGACCUUCUCACAGCAAAUGAUGUUUACUUCAUUGUCAUUCAGAACAUUCCAUACAAAUAGCUCAUCCAAAAUUUGCUUUAUAACAGUCAUUCCCAUCCUUUGAAUGAGAAUUUGACUGUUCUCCUUUAUGAAAUCCACUGAGGGGAUGGGGGAGAAAUAUAAAUAUUUAUUCAUUUAUACAAAAUGUGCAUAUCAGCAUUAUGUUGCCAGGGCAUUAGGUUCAUGCUUUUUUUUUUUCCCCUUUGGACCUAUCUUGAGUUAUGGAGAUGCCAAAUGCUUGAAUUCCAGGCCCUCAAGAAAAGCUGUAAAGACUCUCAUUCCUGACCCCAGAGUCCUUGGUGAGCAAGACGUUUUUUCUUUGAUAACAAAGUAAAGUGAGCAAUCUUGUCCUUGAUAUAAAAGCAUCCCCACUAAGGUAAUAGGGGUAAGACGAUGCGCUUUCAAGUAGGGAGACUGGCGUACGAUCUGCCAUUACCAUCUGUGUAACCUUGGCAAGUUGCUAAACCUCUUUGAGCCUAUUUCAAUGCUGUGCUGAUAAAUGUUGAACACACUGCCUCUCUGGGGGUAAAGGCCUGAAUUCAUAACACGUACCAAUCUGCAUGUUAUAAAUAUUCCCACUGAGGCCAAAUUCAAGCUAACAAUGUAUGUCAACUGGCUAACAAAAAUCAUAAAAAUUAACAGUGAGUUCUCACAAAACAGUAAGAACCAGCUGUAGUACACCACUGGUUCCUUGUCUGUACAAUGGAGUUGAGAACAGUAUUUUACUUAUGAAGUUGUAAUGAGAACUCGUGUAUAGUAUUUCAUACAAAGUAAUAGCUCAAUAAAUGUUAGCUACUAUUUUUAGCCAUUAUUCUGCUGUCAACAUUCAAAGGAGUAGCACAUUUUAUCUCCCAUAGAAUUUGGUAUUUUCUGAAGAGUAUCACUGCAAAAUAGUCGUCUGUAUUCAGUUUAAGCUCUCUCACCUCUCACAGUGAGGUUCCCUGAAGAAGCUGUCUCGUUUCUGUGUCUGCCUUGCCAAGAUCUAACUCUCCCAGGCAGUCCAUGCCAGCUCGGAGAAGUGCCUCCCUGGUGUUGUACUCUCAGACACUGUCUGCACUACUUUUCCUCUUGGGCUAGGCUGCUCCUGGUUUUCAAAUCUUUCUUGACUCAUCCAAGUGGAUACCUCCUCCCGAAGACCCUGAGGCAUCUCUGGUCUGAAUUACACCGUCAGGCACUCAGACCCCCAGGAUCGUACCUCAGGUCCCCUUUCUCUCUGUCCCAUGCAGAUCUCUACUGCUAACCUCAGCUGGAAUGUUACCACAUCCCUGUCUACGUGGCCGGUCAGCAAGUCUCUCUCUCGCCCUCUGGGGUCUCAUCUGUUUUCUAGGCUUCUACAUCCUCCCUAUGGAGACAACCUCUAAGUCUGAUUCUAGUCACUUAGAAAGGCCUAGAGACCACCGCAAGAUCACAGGACUAGCCUUUUGGAGGUGACAUUUCUUCAGCUGUAAAAUUAAGAUAUUGAUACUUUAAUUCUUUAAAAGGCUCAUGAAAAAGACUGAAUAAAGUCACAUAAGGCACAGACAUAAAAAUAUUUUAAAAUUUGAAAAGUGUGCUGCUAUGUAACUGUAAGAUGUUCCUAUUACUAGCCAUGGUAUCUCCCUGAGUGUGGACUACCAUACUCCUCUCUUAUCAAGUAGUUAAGUGAAAACCAUGCUGCUUAUUCAUUCAUCCAGUAUUCAUUCUUAGCAGAAUAUCUCUGUUUAGACUAGUGCUGUACAGUAGAAUUUUCUGAGAUGAUAAACAUGUUCUAUAUUUGCUCUGUCCAGUAGUGGAGCCAUUAGUCACGUGUGGCUAUUGAGCACUUGAAAUGUGGCUAGCGUGACUGUGAGACUGAAUUUUACAUUUUAUUUAGUUUUUGUUUAUUUAAAUUACUGUGCGACUGAAUUUUAAAUUUUAUUUAGUCUUUGUUUAUUUAAAUUUGCAUUAAAUAGACACAUAUAGCUACUUACUAGUAACUACAUUGGAUAGCAUAGUCUACACCCAGUCAUCAAAGCGGAAAGAGUUAUAUUUUGGUCGCCACUUAGAUCUACUCCGUGUUUCUUCACAAUGAUCUUGACAGAUCUCUCUGCUUUCUGACCAGGAGGGUAAGCCCGAGUAGGUGAUGGCAGGAGACCAAUAUUUUUUCCUUUUCAACCAUAAAAACCAGAGAGUUUAAUGAAAAGCAAGCUUGUAUAAAAGAACAUUCAUGUUCAAUAGGCAAAAAAAUUAGACAUAUCAUUGAAGAAAUUAGGGGCAACAAAUUGCACUAAGGGGAAAAAUGCUUUCAGGUAAUAUAGGAAAUAUAAAUGUACUUUUGAUUCUUGAAUAAAAUCUUAAUGUAUUACAAUAUUCUCAGCAUAUAAGAAAAUUCCAACAGGAGAUAAUUUCUAGUGGAACAGAGCUGAACUUUCCUUCUUCUGAAGGGACUCAGAUUUGAAUUGCUGACUUGAUAAAAAGAUAGAUCAUGUAAUAUUCUUCCUGAGUGCAUCUUCAGGACUGACAAAGAGAUCAGAAAGAAUAGCGUCUUUAUUCAAUUACUGUUACAAAUAGGAGAUGUGUUCUGGAAACACCCACAGAAAUAAAAACACAAUUAACAUAAUGAGAUGUCAUUUUGCACCUACCAAUUAUUUAUAUUUUAUUUGUGUUAUCAUUUUUCACAUAAAUAUUGUUUAUUGUCUAUUUUACCCUUAUUCCACCUUCUCCCUGUACCCUCCAUUCCUGAAUUACACUCGCAAAUAUACACCAUAUUGUAAGCACUGUGAGAACAAAAAGCAUGCUUUGUUUUGAUAUUAUACCCCCAGGGCCUAGAACUGUGGUUAAUUAAUUAACAUUUGUUGAAUAAAUGAAUUUGGUACAGAUUAAAAUGAAAAACCUCACCAUGAUGAAAAAGUUGUGAGAAAGCAUUUACCAUUAGAACUAUUGGAUAGUGCUGCAGUGAACAUUGGGGUGAUAUAUGUAUACGUAUAACUGAUUUACCUUGCCGUACAGCAGAAACCAACACGACAUUGCAAAUCAGUUACACUCCAAUAAAAAUUUUUUAAAAAUAAAGUGUUUGGAAUAGUAAAAAACAAAAACAAACAAACAAAAAACCUAUUGGAUAGUUUGGGCUUAUAUUCUUAGUCAUCUAGGAUCACAUUCUUGCAAGAGUUAAACAUGCAGCCCAGACCUUGAAUAUGGUACCUUUUAUUUAAUGUUCCUUAAGCAAAUCAAUAUCCCCCAAAUUUGUAUAUUAUUUCAGAUUUUCCUGAGGUUUUAGGACAAUGUAUGUGUUUUAUCUCACAUAAGUCCCAAAUUAUUUAGAACUGAGUACUAAUAGCAAAACCUUUCAAAGUGUGUGGCAAUGUACCAGGAAACAGGAAAUUCCCAGAAGCCAUCUUUCAAACCCAGGAUCUAGCCUCCCAUGAUGUCAGGGGACCAAUAUUUUAAAACAAUCACUCUCUGUGAAAGUCCUAGCUUAUCUGUGGUUCUGCCAUUUAACACGGGCCACCAUGUUUAUAACUGAAUUCUCAGAACCACAGAAAAAUAUUUGAUGGGCAUUCCAUAUAUCAAUAUAACUGAUCAGAGAAAGGCAUGAAUUGAUUUUCUGCUCACUAUCACCCGUAUUUGGAAACACACUCUACAAUCACGCAGAUUUGAUUUCUAGUAUACUUACUUGUUCUGAAUAAAAGCUUUCCAGCUUUCUAUAUCUCAAUAGACAAUAUUAGUUCCAAAUGGAGAAGUCAAAGAUGACUCCAAUACUGUCCUCUUCUUUCUGUAAAACGGCUACUCAUUCUGUAAAACUAACAAAACAGAAACAAUCAAGACAGCAACCAUUGUCACUUUUGUAUUUUUUUUUCCACACCAAAAAGGACGCACUAUACAUAAUGUUUGACAUGUUUUUUUUUUCAUUUAGUAUAUUUUGAGACAUUUCUAUAUCAGUUAAGUAGUAAACUGCCUCAUUUUAAAAAUCAAUUUCAUUGACGUAAAAUUUACAUGCAAUAAAAUACAAGGAGCUUUGACAAAUGUACACACCCAAGUCAGUAAUACCCCAGUCAAGAUUUAGAAUAUUCCCAUCACUGCAGAAAGUUCCCUUGUGCCCCUUUAUAAUUCAUUCCUCCUAGUCUCCAUCAAAGCAACCACUGAUCGGAUUUCUUUAACUAUAAAUUACUUUUGCCUGUUCUAGAAAUUCAUGUAAAUGGACAAAUGUAGGGGGUACUCUUGUGUCUGGCUCCUUUCACUUAGUAUCAUGCUGUUGAGAUUCUCCUUGCUGUUUGCAGGAAUUGGUAGUUCAGUCGUUUUUAAUGGCUAAGCAGUAUUCCAUUGUAGGAACAGAUCAAUUUACCUAUUAAUUCUGUUGAUGGACCUUUGGUUUGUGUCCAGUUUUUGGCUAUCAUGAAUGAAGCUUCUAUCAACAUUCCUUUGUGGACAUACGUUUUCAUUUCUAUUGGGUGAGAAUCUAGAAGUGGAAUUUCUAGGUCAUAUGGUGAGUGUAUGUUAAUUUUAUAGAUGGUGCCAAACUGUUUUUUAAAGUGGUCAUACCAUUUUACAUGCUUACAGCAGAUAAAAUCAACAGUUCCAGUGGUUCCAAAUCCUCAGCAGCACUUGGCAUUAUCCGUCUUUUUAAUUUUAGCCAUUCUAAUGAAUGGGUAGUGUUAUCUCAUUUUGUAAUAUUAAUUUUCAUUUCUUGAUGACUAAUGAUGUUGAGCAUCUUUUCAUGUACUUUAUUGUUCAUUCAUAAACUUUUUGUGAAGUAUCUGUACAAAUCUUUUGCCCAUUUUACAAAUUGGGUUGUCUUUUUAUUAUUGACUUUCAAGAGUUCUUCAUAGAUUCUGAAUACAAUUUUUUUGUCAAACACAUGUAUUAUAAAUAUUUUUUACUCAUCUGUGGUUGUUUUGAUUGUGCCUAGGAUUUAAUUUACAGAGAUAACUGAGUGACAAAAUGAAGACGUCAAUGCCAAUGAAAAAUGUUUUAUUACUUAUGAUUCGCAAGAGAAGGAGGGCCCGCUGUGCCACACAGGACCACAUGGGGCCUCAUGGGGAAGUACCAGAGUUGAUCAGGAGGCAGAAGGAGCAAAGGAGAAAGCUUAGCCCAGAGCCUCUAUAACAGUUUUCACAGGAAGAAACAGGUGAUGCAGGGUAGGCAAGUUCAGCAAGUUUAGGAUUGGAUAGUUUGAAUAAUUUCAGUAGACUCUGGACUAUAAGGGUGGCCUGGGAGUGAUUUAGGGCAGGGGAAAUAUUGGCUUGAUGUGUGAGAGUUUGAUAAAGUUGGUGGUUGAAGAUACGGUCUUUGGAUUCAUUUGUUUGCAUAUGAAAGGCACACUCACAGGCAAGUUUUUUGCUAUCCCUAGGAAUUAGCUAGCCCUGGUAUGGGCAGCCUCUUUUGGCCAGCAAAGCCCCCAAGAUAUCAAAGCAUCAUAAAAUAUAGAAAAUAAAAAACAUGAUUAAUACAAUGGUUUGCCUUUUGUUCUUUGUGUCUUUUGAAAAGCAAAACAUUUUUAUUUUUAUGAAGCUCAACUUAUUAAUUUUUUCUUCUUUAUGCUAUUUGAUUCAUGCUAUUUGUUCAUGCUAUUUGUGUCCUCUUGACAAAAUCAUUGUUACCCUGAGCCACAAAGAUUUUCAUCUAAGUUUUCUUUUAGAGGUUUUAUAAUUUUAGCUUUUACAUUUAGGUCAUUGAUCCAUUUUGAGAUAAUUUUUUGUUUAUGAUGUGAGAUAAGGAGUUGAGGUUCACUCUUUUUCCACAGGGAUGUACAGUUUUUCCAUCAUGAUUGGUUGAAAAUAUCUUUUACCCACUGAACUUGUGAGCAUAUUUCUGGACUCUAUUCUGUUCCACUGAUUUAUGCCUGUCCUUAUGCCAAUAUCACACUGUCUUGAUUACCGUAUCCUUAUAAUAAGCCUUGAAAUCGGGUAGUGUAAAUCCUUCAGUUUUGUUCUUUUUGAGAAUUGUUUGCAUUCUCAUAUAAAUUUUAUUUUAUUUUUAUUUAACUUAAUUUAAUUUUAUUUAUUUUUGGCCACACCACACAGCUUGUGGGAUUUCAGUUCCCUGACCAGGGAUUGAACCCAGGCCCUCAGCAGUGAAAGCACAGAGUUCUAACCACUGGACCGCCAGGACAUUCCCUUUAUUUAAUUUUAUUUAUUUAUUUUUUAGCAUGACGUAUUAGGGCAGUUUAUUACACAGCAAAAGCAACCAGGACAAUGAGCAACAGGAAGUGGUGGCAAACAUUAAUAUUGAUGCAGCUUCUAAAUCACAGAAACCCUAGAAUUGAACCUCCUGCUUUCUGAGGUAUGAAUGCCACGGAGUGUCACAGUUCAACCCUUCUGCCUACAUUUAGAGUUCUCUCUCCUCAGAGCCUGGUGUGUUUCAAUUCUCUGCUAGGUUUCCUGUCUAACUUCUAGAUCAAGAAAGUUUGAAUGAACUUUAGAUAAACACUUAAAAUUAUUUCCUGGAAGUUCACCAGACCGAACAUGUGAAUCCUCCCCAGUCUGCACAACUGAAAACACGUUAUAUAAUUUCUGCUUCUCAGGGCAGUAGGGCUGUGCAAGACGCAGAACACUGGGACUGCUGCCUGUCCUCUGGAAUCACAUUUUAUUUAUUUUUUAAAUAUUUUAAUUUUAUUGGAGUAUAGUUGAUUUACAAUGUUGUGUUAGUUUCAGGUGUACAGCUAAGUGAUUUAGUUAUACAUGUACAUAUGUUCAUUCUUUUUUAGAUUCUUUUCUCUUAUAGCUUAUCACAGAAUACUAAGUAGAGCUCCCUGUGCUGCUAUACAGUGGGUCCUUGUUGGUUAUCUGUCUUAUAUAUAGUAGUGUGUGUGUGUACAUCCCGUGCUCCUGGUUUAUCCUUCUCCUACAAUGUUUCCCCUUUGGUAACCAUAAGUUUGUUUCUGAUAUCUGUAAGUCAGUUUCUGUUUUGUAAAUAAGUUCAUCUGUAUCUUUUUUUAAAAAAUUAGAGAACGGACA